GAUGAACGCUGGCGGCGUGCCUAAUACAUGCAAGUCGAGCGAACGGACGAGAAGCUUGCUUCUCUGAUGUUAGCGGCGGACGGGUGAGUAACACGUGGAUAACCUACCUAUAAGACUGGGAUAACUUCGGGAAACCGUAGCUAAUACCGGAUAAUAUUUUGAACCGCAUGGUUCAAAAGUGAAAGACGGUCUUGCUGUCACUUAUAGAUGGAUCCGCGCUGCAUUAGCUAGUUGGUAAGGUAACGGCUUACCAAGGCAACGAUGCAUAGCCGACCUGAGAGGGUGAUCGGCCACACUGGAACUGAGACACGGUCCAGACUCCUACGGGAGGCAGCAGUAGGGAAUCUUCCGCAAUGGGCGAAAGCCUGACGGAGCAACGCCGCGUGAGUGAUGAAGGUCUUCGGAUCAUAAAACUCUGUUAUUAGGGAAGAACAUAUGUGUAAGUAACUGUGCACAUCUUGACGGUACCUAAUCAGAAAGCCACGGCUAACUACGUG
rnacentral:rRNA from 1 species